rnacentral:rRNA from 1 species
AUGAGUCUUCAUGAUGGCAUCAACAUCCCCGAUGGCAAGUUCUUCCUUGGAGAUGGUGGCUAUGCAUGUCAGCCAAGUGUUCUUCCACCCUUCAGGAAAACCAAGUACCAUCUGAAUGAGUUUGUUGGUAGGAACUAUCCUAGGACUCCUCAAGAACUGUUUAAUCUCAGACACUCCGGCUUUACAGUGACGAUUGAGAGACCCUUUGGAGCUCUGAAGAAUAGGUUUAAGAUCCUGAAUCAGAAGCCAUUCCACCCUUACUCUAUCCAGGUGAAGCUUGUUCUUGCAUGUUGCAUCAUUCACAACUAGAUCCUACAAGGAGUUGAUGAAUUUGUGCCGAAGGAGGAAGAUGUGACUCGUGAUGAGGUGAUCAGCUCCGGCCAUGGUAUGGAGGCGUUCGAGAACAAAGCAUGGAAGAACAAAAGGUUGGAGUAGGCUUAGGCAAUGUGGGAUAACAAAGGUCACAUAAGGAUCUGA